AUUGAACGCUGGCGGCAGCCCUAACACAUGCAAGUCGAGCGGAUGAAGGGAGCUUGCUCCUGGAUUCAGCGGCGGACGGGUGAGUAAUGCCUAGGAAUCUGCCUGGUAGUGGGGGAUAACGUCCGGAAACGGGCGCUAAUACCGCAUACGUCCUGAGGGAGAAAGUGGGGGAUCUUCGGACCUCACGCUAUCAGAUGAGCCUAGGUCGGAUUAGCUAGUUGGUGGGGUAAAGGCCUACCAAGGCGACGAUCCGUAACUGGUCUGAGAGGAUGAUCAGUCACACUGGAACUGAGACACGGUCCAGACUCCUACGGGAGGCAGCAGUGGGGAAUAUUGGACAAUGGGCGAAAGCCUGAUCCAGCCAUGCCGCGUGUGUGAAGAAGGUCUUCGGAUUGUAAAGCACUUUAAGUUGGGAGGAAGGGCAGUAAGUUAAUACCUUGCUGUUUUGACGUUACCAACAGAAUAAGCACCGGCUAACUUCGUG
rnacentral:rRNA from 1 species